UGGGGAAUAUUGGACAAUGGGCGCAAGCCUGAUCCAGCCAUGCCGCGUGGGUGAAGAAGGCCUUCGGGUUGUAAAGCCCUUUUGUCCGGAAAGAAAAGCUUCGGGCUAAUACCCCGGGGUCCUGACGGUACCGGAAGAAUAAGCACCGGCUAACUUCGUGCCAGCAGCCGCGGUAAUACGAAGGGUGCAAGCGUUACUCGGAAUUACUGGGCGUAAAGCGUGCGUAGGUGGUUUGUUAAGUCUGAUGUGAAAGCCCUGGGCUCAACCUGGGAAUUGCAUUGGAUACUGGCAGGCUAGAGUGCGGUAGAGGAUGGCGGAAUUCCCGGUGUAGCAGUGAAAUGCGUAGAGAUCGGGAGGAACAUCUGUGGCGAAGGCGGCCAUCUGGACCAGCGCUGACACUGAGGCACGAAAGCGUGGGGAGCAAACAGGAUUAGAUACCCUGGUAGUCCACGCCCUAAACGAUGCGAACUGGAUGUUGGGAGCAACUAGGCUCUCAGUAUCGAAGCUAACGCGUUAAGUUCGCCGCCUGGGGAGUACGGUCGCAAGACUGC
rnacentral:rRNA from 1 species